GGAAAAAUCGUUAUCUCUCCCCAAAUCUCUCUCACAUCCAAACCACCCAUCCCUCUAUUUUAAAUCUCCAAAUUCAGUUUAUUUUCCUAUUCUACUCGUUCUCUGUAGCAAGAAAACCAAGACCUCUUCUUCACAACUUCAAUUCAAGAAAUCGAGAACCAAAUUCGUAAGAAGAGAGAGAGCUACCGGUUGUCUUUCGAAAUCUGUCCAAGGGAAUUGUUCCGUGAGACUCUAAUCCGGAAAGAGGAAAUACUCAAGUGCGACACCUUUAAGCAGUCGAGUCUUCAAUCUGCAGAAAAUAGAGAGAGAAGAAGAAGAAGAAGAAGAAGAAGAAGAAGAAGAAGAAGAAGAAGAAGAAGAAGAAGAAGAAGAAGAAGAAGAAGAAGAAGAAGAAGUGCCUCUCACUCCUCACGGUGCAAUCAUCAUCCAAGAAGCAUAAAUGUUAUAGCAGGCGUGGCCUCCCUAAAGCCUACUCUACAGCAUCAGCAACAAAACAACAUAUCUAUAGGAAUAAAUAUAUCAAGGGACAAAUUGCAAUGGGAAGUAAAUCUUGGAUAACAAAGUAUUAUUUCAUAACUUCAUUAAGACAAAAAUCAUGGGAAACUGAAGAGUGAAUCAAUCACAGCUUUGGAAGAAUGAAAAAAAUAGAUUAUUGUAAUAGAAUAGUGAUAUUUUAUACUAAGCCUAGAAGGCUAACAUAAAUAGGCUGCAACCCUAUAGUAAAAUUUACUGUCAUACGUGAACAUUCUCCAUUGAGGGAAUUUAUCUAUUCUAUUUAUUUUUAAAGCAGGAUUUACAAUUACUGUAAAA